rnacentral:RNase_P_RNA from 1 species
UCAGACGGUUGGACGGCCGCUGCCGCUCGCAAGGGUGGUGGAGGAAAGUCCGGGCUCCACGGAAAUACGGUGCCGGCUAACGGCCGGCGGGGGCGACCCCAGGGAAAGUGCCACAGAAACCAAACCACCUUUGCGCCUCGGCCCAAAGGAACGGGUGAAACGGUGCGGUAAAAGCGCACCGCGCUUCUGGUAACAGCGGCGGCAGGGUAAACCCCACCGGGAGCAAGACCGAAUAGGGGCGGCCGGCUGCCUGCGUUCGCGCAGGGCAGCGAGGGUAUUUUCGACCUGUCGCCCGGGUUGGUCGCGCGAGGCACGCGGCAACGCGUGUCCCAGAGGAAUGGCCGUCCAGCGCCAGCGCGUGAGCGUGACGGCGUGGACAGAACCCGGCUUACAGACCGUCUGACAUU